ensembl:lncRNA
UCCAUGCUGAUAAUUCCUGAUCACCCUCUUCUCUCCCAGUUGCUUGGAGACGGCAUCUAGAACAAGCUGUUCUGUCACUUUUCAAGGGACGGAGGUAAGACUGAGCGGCCUUGACUUUCCCGGAUCCUCUUUCUUGCCCUUUCCGAAGACCGGCGUGACAUCGGCUAUCUUCUGGUCCUCAGGCACCUCCUCUGUUCUCCAAGACCUGUCAAAGAUGACAGAGGGUGUCAGCAGUCACAUCUGCCAUCUCCCCCAGCACAUGUGGAUGCAUCCCGCCGGUGAUUUUUUACAGGAGAAAGGUGUGGCACGAUACCGCAGCUCUUCACAGCUUCAAAGCAUUACGUGCACAGUACAGAUACAGAUGUCCUGAGUGUUUCACCUCAUUCACCCAACUGGUAAUGGGAAGGUUAGGAACAGUAAAAAACAUCAUCUUCUUCCAGAAGGCCUUGAAAACCUGUUGGAAAGGCGACACCUCCUAUGGAAGCUUUGCUGGUAAUUCAGAUGUUCGUGAUAUGUGAAUCCUUACCUUAGAAGUCGUGCUUGAUUGGAUUUGCUGCAGUGUUUCGGGUGAGGAACUGCAUUUCUGGAGGAAUUUCUACUUCUUGCCCAACCCUGAUGGCGUUGCAUAUCAUUCAAGGAGCAGCGCAAGUGUAUUCUUCAGAGUACUGAGAAGUGAAAAAUACAUUUUCUCCCCUUCCUUAUUACUGUCACCUUCAUAGCAGUUUCCUGCUUGACCAAACCCGCUCUGUCACAGUGUCUGCCAUGGAAACUGGAAUGAAAUUUCAGCACUGAUGCAGGCUUUGAGACG